UGGGAAAUCGUAUUUAUCCAAAGAGGGAUUGGUUCCCAAAGGAAUGGUUGUCGGGUGCUGCCUAAGCACUGUCUAGUGCAGUGAUUCUCAAACUUCAGAGAGCAUCACAAUCACCGGGAAGACUUGUUGGAAGACUGAUUGCUGGGCCCCACCCAGAGUUUCUAAAUCUGAGCUGUCUUGCCUGAAACUCAGGAAGCACGGAGUCCCUGGUUGUGUAAUAAGAGUAUACUUGUAAAGUACCUUGUCCUUAUCUGACAACCCAGAUGGAAGAAUACUGGCCCUGAAGCUGCUUUUCUUAAAACUGGUCAGUGCCUAUGGACCACUUUUGUUUAUGCUACAGCUAGCCAGCUCGGGUUUCUCCUGUGCCUUAGAGAACACUCUAUCCUUUCUGCUGGAUUCCAGGUAUAAUCUCCCAGUUUUGGGU